UACAGAGGUCCCGAGCGUUGUUCGGAUUCACUGGGCGUAAAGGGUGCGUAGGUGGCAUAGAAAGUUUGAUGUGAAAGCUCAGGGCUUAACCCUGAAAUGGCAUUAAAUACUGCUGUGCUGGAGGUUUGGAGGGGGGACUGGAAUUCUUGGUGUAGCAGUGAAAUGCGUAGAUAUCAAGAGGAACACCAGUGGCGAAGGCGAGUCCCUGGACAACACCUGACACUGAGGCACGAAAGCUAGGGGAGCAAACAGG
rnacentral:rRNA from 1 species